ensembl:lncRNA
AAACAAAUGAGUUUAGAUGAGUAAACGUGAAUAAAUAAACUUAGGAUAAAACUUAAGGAAAAAUGAAAGCCUUUGAAAGAGUAACUGUGAAAAUCUGGUGUGGGGACUGUGGAGACAAGGCAGUUCAUCUUUCAUACAGGUGUCUCCCAAGACUCCUUCUUCACAUUUCACGUGCGCAUUUUGAAACCAUUACCAGGAAUGAACAUUUGUACUUUAACAGCCACAGAACGUGUGCUGCCCCACUCUUGAGAGACUGCCUGGUACUGUGUGGAGGGAGUGCUCUAUGUGGUCAAAACCACUUCAAACUGAACUACUAAAGGAAAGGCUGAAGUGAUGAACUUUGGCUUGAAGUUUGUACUUCAUAGAAGCUUAGAACAAAACUAGAAUGGGAAAGAGACAAGAACAGUUAGAAUCAAGUCUGUAAUUUGAAUUAGAGUUGAGACUGGGACUAAGUUUGAGCUGGGCCAUGUGUGAGGUGAAUUUGACUGAGACUGGUUUGUGUUUGGUUUUAUGCGGAAGAGAAUUUUUCUGUGGAGUGCCAGAUAUGUUGCUUAUUAUUGAUUUUGACAUCACGUCCAGAUCUCAAUUGAGGACUGAUGAGGAAAUUAUGAAACAGUUCCUAUUCUGUUCCUAGACUGAUAACAGCAGCCAAGCAGGGUUGGUCAGCAUAAGAGCAGAGGUUUGUCACACAUUAAUUUUAUUGCUUACUACCGAAAGAUCUACAUGCUUAGCAUAAACACUUCCAACUAUGAAAAUGACUGCUAGGUAAUUAUAAACUGGAAUAACAUCACUGGCUAAACCUGUGGAUCUGGCAAAAAAGAGUAGAUAAAACUGAGUGUAUCAGCCACUGCUGUCCAUAAUCCUUUUUGCCACUUGUCCACAAUGCUAUCAAGGAUUGUUGUUUACAUUAGGACACCUGUUCCCAGGCCAAAAUCAAAGGUACCCUUUUUUUUUUCAUAUUACAUCAAUUUUCCUAUUAUUUCUGUAGAUUCUAAAUUUCACAAAGUUGUAAUAAUAGUAAAGUCUGUUUCUGCUAUUUGUGGCAGUAAAUAAAGUUCAGCUUUAGAGCUAUUAGUAGCAAAUUAUGAAAAAAUUACUCUUAC